GUAGCCAGCGCGCCCUGGACUCCCCACCUAGGGGCCGUUCUUCCCGGGCCGCCUCGACCCUGCGCGGUCCCGGAAGGGAGAACAGACCGGGGACAGUGGAGGGACCCCUGCUGGGACAAGAGUCCAGACAGGGCGGGAUGUGUGAUGGUAAACCCAUGGAGGGCCAGAGGAAGGCCACACAGAGGGUGACUGCAGCCUGUUUUGUUCUACGCGCGCGUGGGAAGUGAAUUGAAACUCUGAGGAGAUGCUCAGCCCUGCCUCCCGGAAGCUCUAGAUUCAGACAAGUCAGUCUCCUCAUUUGCAGGUGAGUGAGUAGGACCAGACUGUCUUUAAAUUCCCUGCCAGCUCUCACAUCCUACGACUGAUCAACACCCAUCCUAAGUUACAUCAGACAAAACCCAGCUCACCUAAAAUGCAAUCUGACAGUCCUGAGUCAUCUGUUUUUAAGGAAGUAGUGAGCAUGUAUCCAGGAAGUGCACAAUGAAGAAGAAAUUCAUGUAUAAAGCUGUCUAGAAAAUCAAAUUUAUAACAGAUGUGAUCGGAUGGUAACAGAAUUGUUACCACGUUCUGUAGCAAAGAGGAACAAUGUCUCACCCGUAACGAACCCAAUGGCUUUCACCAGCCAAGCCUCACCCUCUGCAUUCCUUAUUUUCUGAAACGUGAAGUCAGCUCCAUCCUGACCACUUUCUCUGAUCCCCAGCUUCAGCUUCUUGUAAAAGGAUGGGCUCUGAAUGGGGUGACAGAACCAUGGGAUCUGGUCCCCCGUGACCACUUGACAAGCUGUGUGGCCACGGAGCCCGUUUCUCCCUCUGCAGUACAUGGGGGUCAAGGGCUCUGCAGCCAGGUGUCCAGAGCUUCCCCCGACCCCGGCCCCUUAUCUCAAACACACAGGCAGGGUGUGUAGGGCUGGGGCAGAGGCAGCAGCCAUCAGCGAGGAGGGUGGAGGGGACACAGUGCUGGAUGGGGUGGGGGUCCGGGGGCCGCCAACUGAGACCAGCUCUGGAGGGUUUCCAUCAGGGGCUGGGGAAGGGGAGGUGAGGAGACACGCCUUCACCAGGGUUUUUUAAACCAGCUGAGGUCCAGCAGCUUUCAGGACUGGCCUUGGGCAGGUAAUAUUUUUAAAAAGGUCUUUAUAUUAUUUUUCCAUUAAAAACUAAAGAUGGGGCUUCCCUGGUGGCACAGCGGUUAAGAAUCCGCCUGACAAUGCAGGGGACACGGGUUCGAGCCCUGGACCUGAAAGAUCCCACAUGCUGCGGAGCAACUAAGCCCAUGCACCACAACUACUGAAGCCUGCGUGCUUAGACCCCGCAUCGCAACAAAGAGUAACCCUUGCUCGCCGUAACUAGAGAAAGCCCGCGCGCGGCAACAAAGACCCAACACAGCCAAAUAAAUAAAACAACUAAACGAUGAGUUUUGCAAGAUAUGAAGUCCUGGAGAUCUGUACCCAACAAUGUGGACACCACUGAACUGAACACUUAAAAACGGCCACAAUGGUGCAUUUCAGGUGAUGUGCUUUUUACCACAAUUUUUAAAAAGGAGAGUAACAGACAAGCUUCAGAAAAGUUGGAAAAGACUGAAAACUAACAAAAGACAACAUCCAACCCCCAAACACCAUUAAUUAAUUAAUAACUUUUGGACACA
ensembl:lncRNA